AAAGGAAAAACAAAACGGGGGAAACCCACUUAGAAAGACUCCACCCCAAAACAUGUUUCUUUAUGUUUGUGGUCCCAACCACCCAACACUUACCCCCCCCCCUGAACAGUAUAUGCAAAUUGGCCUACGUAGGCCUACGUCAUGGAAAUCGCCGCCAUAUUGGAUAGAAAAUGGUGAACGGUGAAAAAGACCUCGCGUGUUGCUGCAAGUUUUUUUUCACAUGUUAUGAACAAUUAAGCAGCAAAAUUACAGCAAAGAUAGCAAGAUAGAUGUACAUGCCACACCAACCCAUGCAUUCACCAAGGACCUGUUCAAGAAACCAAGAGGCAUUAUGCACCCCUCAUCAUGGGAGAGCAAAGACGAACAAUUGGUCUUAAUUCAAGGCCUACUGAUAGAUGUACAGCCACACCAACCCAUGCAUCCACCAAGGACCUGUCCAAGAAACCAAGAGGCAUUAUCACCCCUCAUCAUGGGAGAGCAAAGACGAACAAAUGGUCUUAAUUUAAGGCGUCAUAACAAAGACCCAUGUCAUCCAUGAAGCAGCACCUAAGUCAACAGUGUCAGUUCAUCAGCAAGGCUUGAAUGAAUGCACCGAGGGAGAUUCAAGCUCAACUUAAUGGAGGGCUGAGGUGGAUGUGUUGAGCUUUACCUGGAUGCUGUCUCUGUCACCUAAUGGAUCCAAGUCUUGACCUCUCUAGUUGCUCAAAUUUUGUCUGAAAAUGUGUUCAAGACUAUGAAACUAAAGCCUUGUGUUUUUUCACAAAUUUUGCCAGAAAGUUUGUUAUAUCAAAUUGUGCCCAAAAAUGUUUACAAGGCUUAUGGUUUUAUC